UUCAUUUUGCAUGUAUCACAAGAGCUAUGAAAACAUAAUAUGUGCACAACUAUUAAUUAUGUGACUGACAUGUACCACCCAUGUUCAUAUUUCAUAACUCAUAUUUUAGCAUGUAAUGCAAUCCCAGUAUUUUGUAGGCAUAACGGAAUAUAAAGCAUAUAUCAUCAUAUCUUGUGUAACUAGAGCAUGUCAGAUACACAUAUCGUUCUUAGCCUACAGUACAUGCAUAACAUGUUAAAUUUCAUGUAUGAUCCAUAAAGAUUAUGGCAGGCUACUUACAUACACGAUUCACAACAAGAUUAAAACAAGUUACUUACAGUAAUUUGCCUUUCUCCUAGGUCUCCUACGUCCUGGUGACGAGUCCUAAGUCACCUACAAUCAUGUCAUAAUAAUAAUAUGUUAUUUUCUUUUCUACCUGAGAUUUAGCCCAAGCCUAAUUCCUCUGUAUUGGGGUCUUGGCUGGGCUCAUAAGUCUUAAUUGGCCUUCCGAUUGGCCACUAAGCUUAAUUCCCAGCUUAAUUGGGUUUAAUUGCAGGUUUAG
rnacentral:lncRNA from 1 species